AGAGUUUGAUCCUGGCUCAGAACGAACGCUGGCGGCGUGGAUAAGGCAUGCAAGUCGAACGCGAAAGCCACCUUCGGGUGGUGAGUAGAGUGGCGAACGGGUGAGUAACACGUGGGCAAUCUGCCUCUAGGUGGGGGAUAACCUCGGGAAACCGGGGCUAAUACCGCGUAAUGUCGGAGGAUCGCAUGUUCUUCCGACCAAACGGUGGGGAUCUCUUCGGAGACCUGCCGCCUAGAGAGGGGCCCGCGGUCGAUUAGCUUGUUGGUAGGGUAAUGGCCUACCAAGGCAACGAUCGGUAGCCGACCUGAGAGGGUGACCGGCCACACUGGGAUUGAGAUACGGCCCAGACUCCUACGGGGGGCAGCAGUCUAGAAGCUUCGACAAUGGGGGAAACCCUGAUCGAGCGACGCCGCGUGCAGGAUGAAGGUCUUCGGAUCGUAAACUGCUUUCGCCGGAGAAGAAAGGCUCUGCGGUUAAUAUCCGCAGUGUCUGACGGUAUUUGGUAAAGAAGCCCCGGCUAAGUCCAUGCCAGCAGCCACGGUAAUACGGGCGGGGCAAGCGUUGUUCGGAUUUAUUGGGUGUAAAGGGUGCGCAGGCGGUCGACUAAGUCGAAGGUGAAAUUUCUACGGCUCAACCGAGGAACUGCCUCCGAUACUGAUCGACUUGAGUGCGGAAGGGGAGCGUGGAAUUCCUGGUGUAGCGGUGAAAUGCGUAGAUAUCAGGAGGAACACCCGUGGCGAAGGCGACGCUCUGGUCCGUAACUGACGCUCAUGCACGAAAGCCAGGGGAGCGAACGGGAUUAGAUACCCCGGUAGUCCUGGCUGUAAACGUUGGGCACUAGGUGUGGGGGGUAUCGACCCCCUCCGUGCCGUAGCUAACGCAUUAAGUGCCUCACCUGGGGAGUACGACCGCAAGGUUGAAACUCAAAGGAAUUGACGGGGGCCCGCACAAGCGGUGGAUUAUGCGGUUUAAUUCGAGGCAACGCGAAGAACCUUACCCGGGCUUGACAUCACCGAAAGGAUCUAUGGCCGCCUGAGAUGGCGGUCUUAGGAAGACAGGUGUUGCAUGGCUGUCGUCAGCUCGUGUCGUGAGAUGUUGGGUUAAGUCCCGCAACGAGCGCAACCCCUAUCGUCAGUUACCAGCGGGUAAAGCCGGGGACUCUGGCGAAACUGCCGCCGACAAGGUGGAGGAAGGUGGGGAUGACGUCAAGUCAGCAUGGCCCUUACGUCCGGGGCUACACGCGUAAUACAAUGGCUGGUACAGAGGGCUGCAAGACCGCAAGGUGGAGCGAAUCCCACAAACCCAGCCCCAGUUCAGAUUGGGGUCUGCAACUCGACCCCAUGAAGUCGGAAUCGCUAGUAAUCGUAGAUCAGCACGCUACGGUGAAUACGUUCCCGGGCCUUGUACACACCGCCCGUCACAUGACUCGAGUCGUCUGCACCCGAAGCCGGUCACCCAACCCGUAAGGGAGGGAGCUGUCCACGGUGUGGAGGGUAAGAGGGAUGAAGUCGUAACAAGGUA
rnacentral:rRNA from 1 species